rnacentral:rRNA from 1 species
ACGGCUCAGUAACACGUGGACAAUCUAACCUAUGGAAGGGGAUAACCCCGGGAAACUGGGGAUAAUACCCUAUAGACUAUGGAUGCUGGAAUGCUCUGUAGUUGAAAGGUCCGCCGCCAUAGGAUGGGUCUGCGGCCGAUUAGGUUGUUGUUGGGGUAACGGCCCAACAAGCCUGUAAUCGGUACGGGUUGUGGGAGCAAGAGCCCGGAGAUGGAUUCUGAGACACGAAUCCAGGCCCUACGGGGCGCAGCAGGCGCGAAAACUUUGCAAUGCGGGAAACCGUGACAGGGGAACUCCGAGUGCCCGUUAAAUCGGGCUGUCCACCAGUUUAAAUAACUGGUGAAGAAAGGGCCGGGCAAGACCGGUGCCAGCCGCCGCGGUAAUACCGGCGGCUCGAGUGGUGGCCACUAUUACUGGGCUUAAAGCGUUCGUAGCUGGUUUGUUAAGUCUCUGGGGAAAUCUUCCGGCUUAACCGGAAGGCGUCUCAGGGAUACUGGCAGACUAGGGACCGGGAGAGGUGAGGGGUACUCCAGGGGUAGGAGUGAAAUCCUGUAAUCCUUGGGGGACCACCUGUGGCGAAGGCGCCUCACCAGAACGGCUCCGACAGUGAGGGACGAAAGCUGGGGGAGCAAACCGGAUUAGAUACCCGGGUAGUCCCAGCUGUAAACGAUGCGCGUUAGGUGUAUCGGUGACCACGAGUCACCGAGGUGCCGAAGAGAAAUCGUGAAACGUGCCGCCUGGGAAGUACGGUCGCAAGGCUGAAACUUAAAGGAAUUGGCGGGGGAGCAC